CACAACUUGUCAUCCAUUUACUUCAUCUACCCACAUUACUAUAACUAAACCUAACCAAUACCAAACAUUGGGCACUAGCUAUCUGGUAAUAAAAAAACUUCAACUUUGGGGCAGGAAAGGAUGUCUCCAAGGUCAACAACUCAUAAUAAGCUAAUUCUCUGACAGCCAGGGCUAUAGACCCAGUUUCAAAAAGAAAAAAACAUACCAAGAAAGCACAUACUGGUCCUAUUAAUUCCCAGCACCCACAACAUGCGAUUAACUGCCUGUAAUAACUACCUCCAAGCGAUCCCACAGUCCUCUAGUCUCUGCACAUACCCACACCUAACAUGCAAACAAUACACACAUAAAUGAAUUUUUAAAAAGUAGAAACAAAAAAAGCUUUCUAAUAUAUUAGCACCCUAGUAUGUGAAAGAGUGCUUCUCAAACCAAAGUUAACACAUCAAAUAGCAUGUCAAAAGAGUUCAUAUCCAGGCCUAAGAAUUCCCACACAUAUACCAGGUGUAACAAAACACUGCCCAAAGAGCACUUGGAACAUUCAACCUUCAGAGCAUGCCUACUCCUUCAAUGCAGUCAGGUGAGCCUCCAAUAGAGCCAUGAUUCCCUGCCUCUAGUCACUAACUCUGAAGAUGUAUAAUUCAUCUCUAGGUGGUCAGUCUGGUAACACAGAGCAAGUACACCAGGACAGCCUGGGCUACACAGGGGAACUACACUUCAGCACAAACUUUAACUUAUGACUUAGGAGUUGAGGGGAAAGGGACACAACUCAGCAAGAAUCCACUUACCAGCUAGCUACAGGUCUCAAUGCUUCAGUUAUCACCUUCUAUACAAACGCAGAAAUUCUGGACAAAUCAGGUGCCUGUCUAUAAUCCCAGCAGUGGGAAAACUGGUAACUUCUGAUUUUUGGUUUUAGCUGUCCUGCAACUAGCUAGGCUGACAGUGAACUGAGUUCAGCCUGCCUCUCAAGUGCUGAGAAUAAAGGUAUUCGCCACCAUCCACCUAGGAUUCAUACUUUUAAAAAACUUUAUGUGCUAUGUACACCUCCAUGCCAGCACAACACAAAACCCAUCUUUGCCCAGGCAGUUUUAACUGUGACUGUUCUUUGCAAGUGAUAGUGUCACCUAUAAAUAGCAAGUUCAUGCUAAAGAACCAUGCAAUUGGUUGGAUGUGAUGAUACACCUCAUCUUUAAUUGGAGAAAAGUGAGACUUUAUUUAAAGCAUGUUACUUACAUGCUGGGGGUUGGUGAUACACACCUUUAAUCCCAAUACUAUGGAUGCAGAAGCAAACAGACCUCUGUUCAAGGCAAGCCUGGUCUAUAAAGAAAAACCCUACCUCAAAAAAAAGCAUGAUACAAAAAUAACAGCAUGUUUCAGCUUACUGUUUGUGAUACAUUCUGAGACAUGAUGCCUGCCUAUUUUGGGAAAAUUGUCUUUUUGGAGGGGGGUUGCAUGAUUGCAGUCCAUGUCGGCCUUGAACUUCUGAUCCUCUUACCUCCACACCCAAGUACCAGAAAUACAGAAAUCCAUAACCAUGCUCAACUGGUUUGCCUUAGCUAGCUUUGGGACAGGGUAUUACUAUGUAGCUCAAUCAAGCUGGAAGUUCUGCCUCCCCAGUGCUGGGAUUACCAAUGUUUUCAGUUCUACAUACUAAUUUGAAUAUUCAACAGAUGUUGCUAAAUCUGAGUUGUUGUUAAACAUAACAAGCAAAAAGGCGUUACCACUCACUGGCUUCACCAGUUUCCCUUUAUCAUUCAACUUCCCUUAAAAGAACUGUAGCCAGGAAGGGCACACACCUUUAAUCCUAGCACCCAGGAGGCAGUUUCAAGG
rnacentral:lncRNA from 1 species